rnacentral:rRNA from 1 species
UACAGAGGGUGCAAGCGUUAAUCGGAAUUAUUGGGCGUAAAGGGCGCGUAGGCGGACUCUUAAGUUGGAUGUGAAAUACCCGGGCUCAACCUGGGAUGGUCAUCCAAGACUGGGAGACUAGAGUGCAGUAGAGGGAAGUGGAAUUUCCAGUGUAGCGGUGAAAUGCGUAGAUAUUGGAAGGAACAUCAGUGGCGAAGGCG